UACGUAGGGUGCAAGCGUUGUCCGGAAUUAUUGGGCGUAAAGAGCUCGUAGGCGGUCUGUCGCGUCUGCUGUGAAAACCUAGGGCUUAACUCUGGGCGUGCAGUUGGGUACGGGCAGGCUAGAGUGCGGUAGGGGAGACUGGAAUUGCCUGGUGUAGCGGUGAAAUGCGCAGAUAUCAGGAGGAACACCGGUGGCGAAGGCGGGUCGCUGGGCCGUAACUGACGCUGAGGAGCGAAAGCAGUGGGGAGCGAACAGGAUU
rnacentral:rRNA from 1 species